GUAGGUGGCAAGCGUUGUCCGGAUUUACUGGGCGUAAAGAGCGCGCAGGCGGCCGAGUAAGUCGAAUGUGAAAGCCCCCGGCUCAACUGGGGAAGGUCAUUCGAUACUGUUCGGCUCGAAGAUAGGAGAGGGAAGCGGAAUUUCAGGUGUAGUGGUGAAAUGCGUAGAUAUCUGAAGGAACACCAGUGGCGAAGGCGGCUUUCUGGCCUAUUCUUUACGCUGAGGCGCGAAAGCUAGGGGAGCGAACGGGAUUAGAUACCCCGGUAGUCCUAGCCGUAAACGAUGAACACUAGAUGUUGGUGGUAUCAACCCCGCCAGUGUCGUAGCUAACGCAUUAAGUGUUCCGCCUGGGGAGUACGGCCGCAAGGCUA
rnacentral:rRNA from 1 species